AUACGGAGGAUCCGAGCGUUAUCCGGAUUUAUUGGGUUUAAAGGGUGCGUAGGCGGGAUAAUAAGUCAGCGGUGAAAUUUUGCAGCUUAACUGUAAGCUUGCCGUUGAUACUGUUGUUCUUGAGUAAAGUUGAGGUAUGCGGAAUGUGGUGUGUAGCGGUGAAAUGCUUAGAUAUACCACAGAACACCGAUUGCGUAGGCAGCAUACUAAAUUUUCACUGACGCUGAUUCACGAAAGCGUGGGGAUCAAACAGGAUUAGAUACCCUGGUAGUCCACGCUGUAAACUAUGAUUACUCGUUGUUUGCGAUAGACUGUAAGCGACUGCGCGAAAGCAUUAAGUAAUCCACCUGGGGAGUACGUUGGCAACAAUGAA
rnacentral:rRNA from 1 species